AGUUUCUGCAUUGUGAUCUCCUUAUCUUCUCCUUUUGCAUGGGUCACCCUGUUAGGUCUAUCUCAGAGUUCUGUGUAGAAUUUGCUAAAUUUCCUUUCAUAUUAUAGAUUGUAAUCUCCAGUGCAAUCAGUUCUUGCAAGUAGGGUUCUUCAAAUCCUGCUGCUUUUUUCUCUUAUGGAGAAAUCGAUCUUUAUCAUGGUUUCUAGGCUUGUGCUAGCUAUUAUAAUAAUACUGCUACUUCUUGAUCUAUCAAUCUUUUUUCUAUGUUUAUUUGUGCGGUUUGCUUGCCUUUUCUUGAAAAUAUGGUGUAUGGAUUCUUGUUCUUUUGACUGUGUAAAAGAGGCUGAUUCUGAAGCUGUUUUGUACUAGUUUCCCCCUCUGUGCAUUGGUCACGAAGGUAGUCCCAACUCUUCAUGAUAAUUUGGUUUUGUCAGAUAUUCAUUUAUAGAAUUUUCCAUCUAUCAUGAAGAAGGGCAGGGAAACAGCACCAUAUCUUGUCAUGUUGGAUAUCUUAAAGGAUGAACAUAUUUUCUUCUCAUUUUCUCUCAAUUUUGGCACUAGAACAAAAAACAAAUUAAAAGUCUCCACCUAAAAGUCUAAUGGUGGAUUUGAUAAUGCUUUGCUGGGGCUUCAUUGUGGCAAGAAAGCAUAAUCAAAGAGCUAUAUUUGCCAGAUAUAGUGGCAAGAAUACUGUUACAUAUGGUGUGCAUUUUAUAAAUUUUCGCAUAUUUUUGUGUUCACUAGUUGAUUUUUUCCAUCUGAAGUUGAUUAUGUGACAUGUUUCUUCUUCAAUUUUACAUUCCUUGCUUGUUGUAUGGUUUCAUCCAUGGUCUGCCAUACCGGUCCAUACGGGCCGGUACGUACCGGUCCGGCCUGGGACCGGUACCGGAUCAGCGUGAAAUCCGGUACUGGUAAUUUAUUGUUGAAGAACCGGUACGGGACCGGUACGGGAUCGGUACGGACCGGUACGCCACCAGUACGGAUCGGUAUGGAACUGGUUUCGUACCGGUCCGGGACGCCACCGAUACGCCGACCGGUACCGGUACGGCGGACCUUGGUUUCAUCUGCUUGUUAAAAUUAACAUUGAGGUUUAUGGUAGAUAUUUUUGCAGCACCAAAGAAGGCUGAACUUUCUUUUAAGAAUAAGGUACAUUUUCUUGAUGAUUGCCUUGUUUUUUAGUCUCAUCUAAGUGUGGUUGUGGUAAAUAUCAUUUGCAAGCUGUACUGGUCCAAAGAGGAACCAUAUUAGUUGUCAAUAGUCUGAUGUGACUUCUAAGGCCCCUGAUUGUGAACAGGUGGAUACACUUGCUUUCUCUAAACCUCUGCAUGUCGCUGAACCAAUGUUUUCUGCUCAUCCUAUAUAAAGUUAUGUGCCAUAUAUCUUUUUAUUCUGAUUGAAACUUGAUCCGAUCAGGAAUAAGAAAAAAAUUACUUCAAUCAGCUUAACUUGCUUUUUUUAAAACAAAUUAGAAAAUAGAAAAAUUGAUGAAAAUAGGAUUUAGGUCCCCUUUUCUUUUAUUUGAAUCCUCCAAAACUGAGUUACAAGACCUCUAUUCAUACUAAUAAGAUUCAUCAUUACACAAUCCAAGUUGCAUUCAUUUUCUAGACACAACUAUUGAAAAUAACCAUGGAAAAGCUAAAAUUAUAUAGGAGUUAGAUCUCAACUUCUACAUCAAUUUUAUUUUCAGCUGCUUCUACUCCUAAUUCUUCUUGGAUUGAGAGAUGCGCCUGGUCAAAGCCUGCCUCAAAAGAUUUUUUUCUUUUACUUUGAUCAAUUCAUUUUGAGGCUCAAAUGAUGAAUUUUUCUCUUGAUUGCUAGGUAUAGUAAGCCCUUUAGAAGUUGGCGUAGCUCGUAGAUCUUUAAAAGUUGCAAUAUCUCAAAGUAAAAAAGAACCUCAAUUGGACAUCGUGGAAGUAACUUUGGUUUUGGAAGUUUGAUAUACAAUUCUUUUUUCUAAUAUGGCGGAUCUCGCACCCAGACCUUGUCUAUACCAUCAGUGGUCCAUGCUAAGUUUGGUGAUGCUCCUAGACACCACCACUUAGAACCAUAGUCAUAAGUUUAUGGAUUCGAGAACAAUUCAUCUAGAUGUAAUGAUUCAUAAUUUGGGAAAAAUCUGAAAAAUUCCUAAAAAUGUUCUGAAAAAGUUUGAAUACCAAAAAUUAGAAAAGAAUAAUUUUAAUAUAUGGGCUUUAUAAAAUAUUUGUAUAUUUAUCUACCCAAAAACAAGUAUAGAGGUGCAAAAUUAACAAAUGAUAACAAAAAAUCACUGUUAGCAAAAAUAUAUAGUAUCAUUAAUUUAUAACAUAUAAAAAUUUCUUAAAUUAGUCACAAAAAAAUUCAUGCAUAAUUUGAGAAUAAUUAAAUAGUUUUGGACCAACUUGUUUUUGAAGAUGAAUUCAGAGAAUUAUUCGGUUAAGAGAAAAUUGAGAAUAAUUCCAGAACUUUUCAAUAAUUCAGAAAAUAUUGUGACUAUGCCUAGGACCACAUCCAAAGCUACUCCCUUGUCCACCAUAGUAAGCCUAAAGUCUUCUAUGGUUGAGAGCAGCCAGAUACUUUACCAAGAUGAUUUUAUCUGGCCAGUAGAUCCACUUAUUCUACUGUGACAUUUCAAAUUAGAAUGUAAGCAAUUGACUGAUGUUUUCGGAAAAAGAUCAUGACUAAAUGCUUCAAAGUUUGAAAUUACAUUCUCUUUAAGGUGUUGUUGCUGGGAAUCUUGUUAAUUGGAGAUCUCUUGUAACCUCCAAGUGAAUUGUUUAUAGAGAUGCAAAUGAUGUUGCUUCUAGGUUCUCUAAGUCAUCAUGGAUAUCUUCUUCCAGUUCACACCAAGGCAAUAAGGUGUUGUUAAAAUCUCCCUGCUUAUCAUAUAGUAGUUUCUGCAGCAUGUCAGCUGACUUAACUGGUAAAUGUCCCUUGACGGCCUUGAUGAAGAAAACUGGCUGCAGAAACUACUUUGUCAGCUGGUUCAGUAUUGAAAACCUCACUGAGAGCCUGUAAUAGUAAGUUUGGGUUAAUAAAUGCAAGUAAUCUGAUCGUAUAUCAGAAGUCUGCAUUGAAGUUCCCUUCAUGUGUCUUUCCUGACAGUUUAUUUCUUUAGGUUCAGAAUCAUCUUCAAUAACUUCUGCUACAAAGUCCAAUAAUCGACAAAGAGCUUUGGCAUUGGUUGAUCUUUACUGUGUUGCUAAGUUUUUUUGACCCUAGUAUCCUCAGCCAUCAAACUGCUGAAAACUUUUGACAAGCGGACCCUGCAUUGGAGCUGAAAAAUUCUAGAAACUUUCUAAAAAACCAGCAUCAACAGAGCUUUUUGAUGAACUCCUCUAUCAGCUGAACCAUUAGAUGUGAAUUAUUCUGAAGUAUCUCUGGUGUGAAAUGCCUGACGAGACUAUCAUGAAUUCGAAUGCCUCAAGGAGAAAUCUCUUGUCUGACAUUCUGAUACAUACUCUCGGAUAAUUAAAUUUGCUGACAAACACCUCUGGAUCAAACAACAUUGUUAUGAAGGCCAGCAAGCUUCACCCUGUGAGACCUGCAACAAAAAUUUGACCACGAACAUUGACAACAUAUUGGACUGAAACAUAUAUGGACCUCCAGUAAUAGCAGGAAACCUGCAUAAUUGUAUCAAAUAUUCGAUUCUUCUGAACUAUGUAGAACUCUGAGGAUGAAGGAAAUUCUUCACGAUUUAACCUGUAAACUUUGUAAGUAUUUACUUCCUGUGGUCUGUGAUGACAGCCACAUAGCAGUUGAAGUCACUGAUACAAGUAUUUGUGGUUGGUCA